CCUACGGGGGGCAGCAGUGGGGAAUAUUGCGCAAUGGGCGAAAGCCUGACGCAGCGACGCCGCGUGAGGGAUGAAGGUCUUCGGAUCGUAAAACUCUGUCAGCAGGGAAGAAAAGUCACUGUCCUAAUCAGCAGUGAAUUGACGGUACCUGCAAAGGCAGCACCGGCGAACUCCGUGCCAGCAGCUGCGGCAGUACGGAGGGUGCGAGCGUUAAUCGGAAUUACUGGGCGUAAAGCGAUCGUAGGCGGUAUGUCAAGUCAAGGGUGAAAUCCCCGCGCUCAACGUGGGAACUGCGUUUGAAACUGGCAAACUGGAGUGUGUGGGAGGAUAGUGGAAUUCCAGGUGUAGGAGUGAAAUCCGUAGAUAUCUGGAGGAACAUCAGUGGCGAAGGCGACUAUCUGGCACGUAACUGACGCUGAGGCGCGAAGGCGUGGGUAGCAAACAGGAUUAGAUACCCGAGUAGUC
rnacentral:rRNA from 1 species